rnacentral:rRNA from 1 species
GACGAACGCUGGCGGCGUGCUUAACACAUGCCAGUCGAACGGUGAAGCGCCUUCCUUUUUGGUGGGUGUGGAUGAGUGGCGAACGGGUGAGUAACACGUGAGUAACCUGCCCCCUUCUUCUGGAUAACCGCAUGAAAGUGUGGCUAAUACGGGAUAUUCUGGGUCUGUCGCAUGAUGGGUCUGGGAAAGAUAUUGUUUCGGUGGGGGAUGGGCUCGCGGCCUAUCAGCUUGUUGGUGGGGUGAUGGCCUACCAAGGCGGUGACGGGUAGCCGGCCUGAGAGGGUGGACGGUCACACUGGGACUGAGACACGGCCCAGACUCAUACGGGAGGCAGCAGUGGGGAAUAUUGCACAAUGGGCGCAAGCCUGAUGCAGCGACGCCGCGUGAGGGAUGGAGGCCUUCGGGUUGUGAACCUCUUUCGCCAGUGAAGCAGGCCUGCCUCGUUUGUGGGUGGGUUGACGGUAGCUGGAUAAGAAGCGCCGGCUAACUACGUG